GACGAACGCUGGCGGCGUGCCUAAUACAUGCAAGUCGAGCGCAGGAAACCGUCUGAACCCUUCGGGGGGACGACGGCGGAAUGAGCGGCGGACGGGUGAGUAACACGUAAAGAACCUGCCCAUAGGUCUGGGAUAACCACGAGAAAUCGGGGCUAAUCCCGGAUGUGUCAUCGGACCGCAUGGUCCGCUGACGAAAGGCGCUUCGGCGUCGCCCAUGGAUGGCGUGGCGGUGCAUUAGCUAGUUGGUGGGGUAAUGGCCCACCAAGGCGACGAUGCAUAGCCGACCUGAGAGGGUGAUCGGCCACACUGGGACUGAGACACGGCCCAGACUCCUACGGGAGGCAGCAGUAGGGAAUCUUCCACAAUGGACGAAAGUCUGAUGGAGCAACGCCGCGUGAACGAUGAAGGCUUUCGGGUCGUAAAGUUCUGUUGUAAGGGAAGAACAAGUGCCGCAGGCAAUGGCGGCACCUUGACGGUACCUUGCGAGAAAGCCACGGCUAACUACGUGCCAGCAGCCGCGGUAAAAC
rnacentral:rRNA from 1 species